UUGUACUAAGGCGAAUAAACAUUUAAGAAAUCCACGAUAAAACUCGAGUUAGAUUAUGGUAUUCACUUUUUGUAUAUAUUUGAUUCAAAGUUUUGGAUUUAGAUAAUUGGGUAAAGAAAUUAUAACUAUUCAAUUCGAUUUUUGAUAAAAUAGAUGUCAAAUUUUGAUCGAUUUCAUAUCGGUUUUUGAAAGGAAAAAAAAAACUAAAAAUCCGUUUAAUUUUAAUACGAC
rnacentral:lncRNA from 1 species